AAUAUUGAAACUGACCAGCCCAUUUAAUUUAGGAAAUAGGAUGAAAUGGAUGGCCAGCUCCUCAGUGCCCGUACUCACAAAUGGAUUCAGAGUCCAGGAAGGAGGUACUGGCCUCGGCUGCUUAUCCUCUGAGGCAGCCACAGUACCUGUGUGAGGGGAUACAGGAUCUCAGAUUUGUUUUGUCUUCUUAGAUUACCAACAGAAACUCUUAAGCACUCAGUGAUGUGCUGAAUUAUCUGAAAAAUAACAUAGAUUGAGAGUGAACUGUCCUUUGCAUUAGUUAGGGCUCAAGGCAAAUGUGGUGCUGUGGUUUCCUCUUCUAUCACAGUAAAUGCUGAUCAAAUUUAAGAGAAGGAGCAGGCAGUUUCCAAUAGAGAGAAAAGGGUUUUUCUUUCUAUCAUUGGAUUUUGUGAUAAUUAGCACUUCAUAUUGUAUUACAGUGAUGGUGUCAGACCAACAGCCAAACAGAAUUAAUGAGUUAAAUAUCUGUCAGCAAGAAGCUUCAGGUCUGAUUAAAGGUGAAGAAAUGCAACAUCCAGUAGAACUACCCACCCUCUAUUCUAACAGCUAAUAUUUAUCUAACACCUUCACUGAGCACAGAUUAAGAAGAAAGACUAUCAUCAGAAGGAGGAAAUACCACCCCUACCAAAAAGGAGGUUUGAGUGAAGUUACAGUUAUAAAGAAAAAUGCGAGAGGAAAUAGAUUAAAAAAAACCCUAAAAACAGAAGAGAGAAAUAAUGCUAUGGCACAAUGUAAUAUCAGAGCUGUCACAAUGCAUUAUAUAGUUGAUUGUCAAAUGAGUGGCAGAGAUAGAAACUGCUAUUAGUUUAGAAAAGAAAGAGAAAAUUGUGGUCUAAAGUGGUCUGAGAAGAUUGAAGUAGAGAAGAGAGUUGACCUUAGUCAGGAGUGAUGAGCAAGAUUUGGAUACAACAAGAAGGUCGGUAGGACACGACAGGGCACUUCAGAUAGGGACUGGGAAAGAAACAUCUGAGGGAUGCAAGCACCAGUUCUGUUUGGGAGGCGAAGAGCCAUCCAGUCAGGUUGGAGAGGAGGGCUGACACAAUAG
rnacentral:lncRNA from 1 species